GGCAGACUGAAAAAUUCCUGCAAAAAAGGUUGUGGUAAGAACUAGAUUUCUGUAGGCAAUUGGAUUAGCUUCUGGAUCUUGAACUUUCGGAAUCAUUGAGGACAAAAGAAGUGAAACCACAGCAACUGGUCCAAUUGCUAUCUCUCUUGAAGUUCCCAUGACCGCAUAAAUUAGAGGCGGGAUUACACUUGUAUAGAGGCCGUAUUGAGGAUCAAGUUUGGCCAAAGUUGCAUAUCCAAUACCCUGAGGAAUGCAAAGGCUAGCAAGAGUUAGACCCGCCAGAAGAUCGUUCUUGAAUUUUGUUGCUUUGUAGUUUCGACUCCAAGUGAUGAUGGGAAAUAUUGCUCUCAAAACUGAAAGCACAGGUUUAUACCCAUGUUGGUUCCUAGAAGAUAGGAAGUUGCUGCACUGAGGCAAUAGAGAUUCGCUUAUGCAAUCCUUGAGCUCACGCCAGAGACUCGGUGGCUCAGGAGCAUUGAGCACCCACUGAGCCCUAUCAGCGUGACCAUUUUUCUCAUGGUCGAGCAUUUCUUGGGCAGCAGUAUUACUUUCAAUGUCCAAAGGAGCCAUUGUUUGAUUGAAGUGUUUGGGGGAACCAGGAGCGUUCUCCUGCUCUCUCUCACCACUCAUUCUUUCAAGAAGAGAACAUUAAUGUUUAAAGAAUGGUUCAGUAAGCACCAAGAUUUUG
rnacentral:misc_RNA from 1 species